AGUUGAUCUUUGCCUUCAUUCUCUUGAUCCCAAU
rnacentral:sRNA from 1 species